rnacentral:lncRNA from 1 species
AAACCCUAACCCAGCUAACCACCUCAACUGAGAUCUUCCCAGCCGCCGUACCACCCUCCCUUGCCCUCACUGUGCGCACCCCGGCCGCCGCCGCGCGCUUCCGGCCACCGAAAUCGGCACCACCUCCUUCUCCUCUUCUAUUUCAGCACCACCUCCUCUCAUCUUUGCCUGUGCUGCUGCCAGGGAGGUCCCUCACCCU